GUUUGUUAUAAUAGAUAUUUAUGUUGAACCAUCUUUAUAUUUGCUAGCUUUUAACUUACAUGUACUUAUACCGGUUUAUUAUAUAUAUAUUUAAUGAAUAUUACUAACAACCACUAACUCCUGUAUAUAUAAAUAUCAUUACUAAUGUUGACGAGGUCGGGAUAAGGUACCGGUAAUCGAUGUUUUAAACUAACAAAUGUAAAGAUUUCAAUAAAAUAUAUAUAAACCUAAAAAAAAAAAAAAAAAAAAAAAAAAAAAAAACAUUUGUGCACUUUUGACAGAAGAGCCUAAAAUAAGACAGCCAAUGGAUUCCCAUGUGAAAGCAUGAUCACGCAUUUAAAAUACUUUUAAUUCAUAAAUUAUUUCAGAGAUGAUUUUUGAAGAAUGGACAAAAAUCUGAGAUAAAUAACUGCAACAUCAUGGAUAUAUUGUAUACAAUAUCAGAAUGGAAGUUCUUUUUAAAGCA
rnacentral:lncRNA from 1 species